CCUACGUGUGGCAGCAGUGGGGAAUAUUGCACAAUGGGGGAAACCCUGAUGCAGCGACGCCGCGUGAGUGAAGAAGUAAUUCGUUAUGUAAAGCUCUAUCAGCAGGGAAGAAAAUGACGGUACCUGAGUAAGAAGCCCCGGCUAACUACGUGCCAGCAGCCGCGGUAAUACGUAGGGUGAAAGCGUUAUCCGGAUUUACUGGGUGUAUAGGGAGCGUAGGCGGCAGUGCAAGUUCGGCGUGAAAGGCGGGGGCUUAACCCCCGGACUGCUCUGGAAACUGUACGGCUGGAGUGCAGGAGAGGUAAGUGGAAUGCCUGGUGUAGCGGUGAAAUGCGUAGAGAUUAUGAGGAACACCAGUGGCGAAGGCGGCUUACUGGACUGUAACUGACGUUGAGGCUCGAAAGCGUGGGGAGCAAACAGGAUUAGAUACCCCUGUAGUC
rnacentral:rRNA from 1 species